GCUUUUCCUGUGUACACAAAACUUCAAAAAUUCGCCAAAAAUUGAAAAAUCAACUUGAGCAGCUGAAAAUUGGGGGAUGGGUGUUUUUUGAGGUCCUCUUUUCAACAGUCCAAGUUUCAUUCAAAUCGGAGAUUCUCAUGUGGGGGGGCUUCCCUUGUUAGUACAAUUUGGAAACGUAGAAAUGGCCCAAAUUGGCUGAUUUUUUUGAUAAGUUGUGUUGCCAAGACCCUUUGGCACAACAUAUCAUAAAAAUUAGCCAUUUUGGGCCGCAACUUCAUGCCAGAUGGCCUUGCAACCUCAGAAUCUUUGAAAAUGGACUUGGUGCGUUUUGGAAACACAUGCUUCAAUUAUGUAGAAUCAUUUCAGUUCAACACUGAACGACCAAUAAUACGGUGAUUCGUGAUUCAAAUCAAUUUUCACACGAUUCUGUAUACCCCUGCUGGUAAUUCUCAUGUUUUUUUGCUCAUUAGGUAAUUAAUUUUUAAUUAUUUUAAUAUUUAAAAAUUAAUUACCUUUCUACCUAAUGAGCCAAAAAACAUGAGAAUGAGUAUUAUACGUACAUAUAAGAGCUGAGGUAUUUAAAAGACGUGUUUCUUUUGUCAUAUGCUUAAUUCGUUUCAACAAUCUUCGUGCGCGUAUCUGCUUGAUCAUUUUUGUGGUACCUCGACUCCCAUUGUGUACCUAAUCUGAGACAAUUGAAGCACUACGUACAGAACUGAAUACAUUUUCGAAUCACUACGCCGAAGAGAAGAAUUUCAAAGUUUGAGAAAUGCAUUUUCUGGGAAAAUUGGUUUUCUGCUUUGCAGCACUGUUUAUGAUGUUCAACAAUGCUGUCGGCAAUAAAACAGAGUGUGACAAUUGCGUCGAAUUGAACGGAGUAUUUACUCAAAUAAAAGCAGUUGGCCAUGCUCAUGAUAAAUAUUACUAUGCAUGGACCACAUCACAUCAGCGAUUUUACGUUUCGCCAGCCGCUUAUAGUUUAUGUUUGGAAGCUGCUAUUCGGGGUUUUGAUAUGUAUGUACAUACGGGAAGUUUGGAUUAUAAUUUGAUAAUGCCAACUCAUUCGUCGUCAUUCGGAAAACCAUAACACGAAAUAUGAAUAUGUAUGGUUCAAUAUUUUGAUUCUCAAUUUAAAAUUAUUUUUAUCAAUAAGUACCUAAGCUACGUAGAAAAUAUAUAGAACUUUUGAGCAUUA